UAUUAUUCGGCAUGUGACGAUGCACAGCAUCUGGUGAGAGAGAUGCGUCUACUUCCGGUGUAGUUUUUUACCAUUUUAUACCUUAAAUGACGUCAUUUCCGCAAUUAUUUAAUAGGAAUUGAUUUGACUUACUUCCGUUUGCCGCCAUUUUAGUCACCUGGGGGCGAGCUUGCUCGGAGUUCUUCAUAGCGUCUUUAACUUCCAAACUAGCAACAUCGUAAGCAGAAACGCUGCUCAGAUUUUUACUGAAAUAAUUUAUUUCUCAACGUUCUUAUACUAAGUUUAAAAUUAAAAAGUGCAAUUGACCGCGCGUGUGUGACCGCGAACGACAUGUACGUGAUGGUGGUUGGCGCCAAAGGGGACGAGUGUCUUCCGGACGACGAGCAGGUGGACCCAGAGCGUCGGAUACCGGAGAAACUCGGACCCCGGCGAGAUUCAAAACGGAUGAAACGAGGUACGUGGGAUUCUGAUAGCUUUAACACUCUUUUCGAUCAAAUGAGCAUUCUCGCGAAUCUCUAUAUUGUAUAAAUAGAUUGAAUAACGUACCCACAACCAUCUUAUACAAUUUUAACGGCGGCCCCGUCAGCCCCAAUCGCAAACAUUAGAUACCAAUCAAAAUACGUUGUUAGCAUCACCACAAUCGAACGAUAACUCUUUCUGGUACGAGUUUCUUAAUAAAUACCCAUUUAAAAAGGCUCAUUGUGCUCAUAAAAUAAAGCACCUACAAAUGCUUUACCACAUCAACAAAGCACUUUAAACUACAACUAUUAGUAGACUGGGUGGUCACCCCCAACACUGAGCCAGCUUACAGCUUGAAUUAUUAAAUUCUAAUGUUUUUUGCAAAUCAAGAAGCUUAAUAAGUAUGACAAAAUGUGCUAAGUACAUCGAACAUGUAUACUUCUAUUUUGCAACAACAUAUAAAUUGUAAUCUGAAGCGUAUCCUGGCUAAAAUUCCUAAUAAGCAUUGUGCGAGGAGCACCCUCCCAGUGCUGGAUUUUUGUUCGGCAAAAUCACCCUGUGCUCGUACUGGUGAUAUCUAAAAAAUAAUCCGACCUUGGUUCUCUAGCCGGUCACUUCAAGCAAAAUCAAAACAUAAUAAUAUCUUUAUUUGCUUAGACUGAUUAAAUUAGUUCUUACAAAUCGUCAAAUACUAAUAAAACAAAAAGCCAAGGAUUCCAAAUCAGUCCCUCCAAGCCGAUGCUUGCCCCUGCAACGCCGUGCUUUAUUCAGCGUCUUAACACUCUUGACUGUCUAGCGCUGACCAAAUAAGAAUAGCAAAGUCAAGUGACUUUCCACUCAGCAAAUUCUACGGAGGCUGCCUUUGAGCGUAUCUUAGGCAGUGGUAGGCGUCAUCAGACUGCGGAGGUCAACCUGUUACCUGACAAUGGUUCCAGGGAUGCGUCUGCUAUUCACCUCCAAGCCGGUGCUUGCCCCUGCACCUGCAACGCCGUGCUUUAUUCAGCGUCUCAACACUCUUGACUGUCUAGCGCUGAUCAAAUAAGAAUAGCAAAGUCAAGUGACUUUCCACUCAGCAAAUUCUACGGAGGCUGCCUUUGAGCGUAUCUUAGGCAGUGGCAGGCGUCAUCAGACUGCGGAGGUCAACCUGUUACCUGACAAUGGUUCCAGGGAUGCGUCUGCCAUUCACCUCCAAGCCGGUGCUUGUCCCUUCAACGCCGUGCUUUAUUCAGCGUUUUAACACUCUUGACUGUCUAACGCUGACCAAAUAAACCGAAAUCCUGUUAAAA